GACGAACGCUGACGGCGUGCUUAACACAUGCAAGUCGAAGGGAGUGGCGAACGGGUGAGUAACACGUGAGUAACCUGCCCUUUUCUUUGGGAUAAGCCUGGGAAACUGGGUCUAAUCCUGGAUGGAUUGGGAUGGGCUCGGGGCUUAUCAGCUUGUUGGUGGGGGGAUGGCUUACCAAGGCUUUGGCGGGUAGCCGGCCUGAGAGGGUGGUCGGGCACACUGGGACGGAGAUACGGCCCAGAGUACUACGGGAGGCGGCAGUGGGGGAUAUUGCACAAUGGACGAAAGUCUGAUGCAGCGACGUCGUGUGGGGGAUGAGGGCCUUCGGGUUGUAAACUCCGGUCGCCCGCGGAAUGGUAGUGGGUAAAGAAGCGCCGGCUAACUACGUGCCAGCAGCCGCGGUAAUUC
rnacentral:rRNA from 1 species